rnacentral:lncRNA from 1 species
GGUCGGUUGUUAUUGUUGAAGGAAGUAGAAAUGCUCGAUGACAACCAAAAACGUCUGAAGAAAACUGACAAUCCCUAUCAAUUGAAAUUUGAGAAGAAUGCACAUGCCACGUGGGCGAUACGUACAGUACUCAAAACCUCAGAGUUGACAGGCCAUUGAUACAAUAGUUACUGCUCAGACCUCUUGACCGAAGGGCUCCUCUACAUUAAACAUAGUUUAAAAACCACACGGACACUGGUACAGUUCUACAGUUUACUGAUAAUCCAUGUACGCUGGUGAAGGGUCUUGAAAUCGUGAUAAUGCAAAUGCGUUAACUUAUUGUUUCCAAACGCAGAAUUUAAAAAGUCGCAUAGUACUGUAACAAUUAAUUCAAUCCUGUGUGAAAGCACAAACUUAUAUUUUUUUCUCAUAGUCAAAUGAGGCUAUUGCGAUCCGUCUUGAUGAUUAAUUACUUAACUUAUAAUGCAGUUCUCUUUUCGCUUGUAUUAACAAUUUCCUAGCUCGACUUAUAGUUUUUUUCCAUUUUCAUCAUGCACGUGUCUCAAAUAUGAACCUGAAAGGGAUUGUCCAUUCCAUCGGAUUCAAAUACAAAAUUGCCAUGUUUUUUUUUUUUUUUUUGUUUUUUUUAAAUGUUUUGUGUAGGAGGAAUAUAAGGGUUCCCAAACGCAGAUCAACCCACGACCUUAUUCAGGGCCUAUUAUUCUGUUCAGUAUCUUAUCGUUUCCAUGCUUGUUGGCUUUUAUUUUUUUUGUACUCUUCAGUGUUCCUUUUGUUUCUUUGAUUUCCUCUUAUAUAUGAUGUAUUUCGCUCGGUUUGAUUUUGUAGUCCGGAUUUAAUAUUGCUUCCCUUAUCCUCUGUGCAUCGGAAAUAAACACCACAUUUAUUCUAAAAGCAGUUGUUGGCAUGAUACGGGUUAUAUUAUUCUCAUAUAUUUUAUGAUGCUAUGAUAUUCAACCCGUAACUGGAGGGAUGGUGCUUGAUAUUUAUCUGAUGAGAAAUAAUCGUUCAAUCAGUUUAAUUGAGGUCUGGAGCUGGCAUAUCAGUAACUGUUGGUAGUCCUUUGUUAAUUUUUGUAUCAGUGUCAUUUUGUUUAGUUUAUUUUGUUACUUAUUCUGACAUCGGACUCGAACUUCUUUUAAACUGAGUUUUAUUGUACGUAUUACUGUGUGUUUGUUUUUUCUACAUUAGCUAAAGGUACAUUUGUAUAGGGAGAGGGUUGAGAUUUAAAAAAACAUGUUUAACUACGCCUUUCCCAAGUCAGUAGCCUCUGGCAUUCGUUAGUCUUGUAUGAUUUUUACUUUUAUUUUUUUAUAUAUUUUUUGAAGUUUAGUAUGACGUCCAUUAUCACUGAAAACUAGUACAUAUUUUAAAAGGCCAGCUGAUGCUGGCAUUCGGGUGCGGGAUUUUCUAACUGUAUUGAAGACCCAUUGCUGGGCUUGAGGUGUGUUCUGCCCUUUGCUCAGUAGUUGUCUCUUUGACAGAUGUCCUAUUUCUAUUCUCAAAUUUAUUGUUUUUUUCUCAACGGUUAAUGACUUUUGAAUACCGGUAUACUACUUUUGCCUUUAUUUAUUUCUCAUUUUUUCUUUCGAAAUGAUACUGGGAGUUGCUGUUCUUUCUGUAGUUUAUACUUUGAAGACAGGCAGAAAAUUCCAAAAGCACAUUCAAACUUACAUGUAUAAGUAGAAAACAAACUGACAGCGUCAUGGCCCUUGUCAAAACAUGCUGUAUAUCUAACUGCAACACUUAUACACAUAUUUUCUAGCCGAAGGUAACUAUCGGGUUCCAUCAUUUACACUGUUGCGAUAUUUCAGCUUGAUGGCGAAUGGUAAUUCAUAACAUAUGCCUGUAUUGUGGAACAAAAAUAAAAUCGCUUUUCCAGACAAAUGAGAC